GAUGAAGAACGUAGCGAAAUGCGAUAAGUAAUGUGAAUUGCAGAAUUCAGUGAAUCAUCGAAUCUUUGAACGCACAUUGCGCCCGCCAGUAUUCUGGCGGGCAUGCCUGUCUGAGCGUCAUUUCAACCCUCAUGCCCCUAGGGCGUGGUGUUGGGGAUCGGCCAAAGCCCGCGAGGGACGGCCGGCCCCUAAAUCUAGUGGCGGACCCGUCGUGGCCUCCUCUGCGAAGUAGUGAUAUUCCGCAUCGGAGAGCGACGAGCCCCUGACGUUAAACCCCCAACUUUCCAAGGUUGACCUCAGAUCAGGUAGGAAUACCCGCUGAACUUAAGCAUAUCAAUAAGCGGAGGA
rnacentral:misc_RNA from 1 species